rnacentral:rRNA from 1 species
CCUACGGGGGGCAGCAGUGGGGAAUAUUGCACAAUGGGGGAAACCCUGAUGCAGCAACGCCGCGUGAGUGAUGACGGCCUUCGGGUUGUAAAGCUCUGUCUUCAGGGACGAUAAUGACGGUAACUGAGGAGGAAGCCACGGCUAACUACGUGCCAGCAGCCGCGGUAAUACGUAGGUGGCGAGCGUUGUCCGGAUUUACUGGGCGUAAAGGGAGCGUAGGCGGACUUUUAAGUGAGAUGUGAAAUACUCGGGCUCAACUUGAGUGCUGCAUUUCAAACUGGAAGUCUUGAGUACUGGAGAGGCAGACGGAAUUCCUAGUGUAGCGGUGAAAUGCGUAGAUAUUAGGAGGAACACCAGUGGCGAAGGCGGUCUGCUGGACAGCAACUGACGCUGAGGCGCGAAAGCGUGGGGAGCAAACAGGAUUAGAUACCCUUGUAGUC